UAAUAAAUAUACAAAGGAAACUAAAUCUAAAACAUUUUUAAUUCUAUUCAACAAUUAUUGAUGCAGAAUAGCAAAGUACCAAAGAACAUCAGUGAGAUAAAAGAAUCAUGACUAUAUUACAUAUAAUUUAUGUUUUAUUGAAUUUGCUAAGAAAAGUUGAAUCAUUAAGUAAAAGAUUUAUUUACUUAUUUACUUAUAAAAUUCAUAUACAUGUACAAAAACACAUUUUUUAAUAAAGCAAAGUAUCUCUUCUAUAGUGUACAUCUUUGAACAAGCCCAUAGGGCAAAAACUUUUUGACACAUAUUGACAAACUGCCCACAAUUGAAAUUGUAAAUAAAGUCCUAAUCUGGAAAUAAUUUUGAAGUAUUCUAAAGGGACCCCUAAAACACCUCAAAAGAUUUCUUUCUUUUUUUAAAUAUUUGUAUUCUUUCAUGUACCAUAGUACAUUUAAGCUGGACUUUGUUCAACUGUCACUUCAUAUGGGUUAUCAACAGGUUUCCAUUGUUGCAUGUAUGUUUUCUGGACGGUCUGACGCUUUCCCCUGCUGCGAGACUGCUGCCUUCACAGGGACAAAGAAACUGUUAGGAAAUGUGUUUCCCACUCGGAGUACACCUUCCAUAAUGUCUAGUGAUUGAGGCUCCCUCUUCACUGAGCAAAUUUAUACAAGAUUUGACGGACAACCCUGCAAACUUCUUGGAGUUAUCACUGGCUCAGUUAUCAGGCAAAGUCAAGAAAACUAAUGGAAAAACUGGAUCCAAGCACAGCAAAUCUUAACUGCAUGAGAUAGAAUGAACUGAUGAGAAUGGUUACAAUUUUUAUGGUAUUUCUGGUUAUCUUUUUGUUUUCCAAGUCUAAGGGAAAAAAAUUGCAAAAACUAGCUAUAUGGCUUUUUCCUCCCUACCUGAUCCCACUAGAAUUUGUCUUGUUAUGCCGCAAUGCAAUUAGGAAGUAAUAUAUUUAACAUGGUGGAAAACCACAGUCUAAUUAAACAUGAAUUUUGGACAUUUAAUCCUUUAACAAGUUAAAUUGAUAUGUUGUAAAAGAUAUUGUAAGACAAAAAAACCACAGGCCCAAAAUGGUAUCACCCAUGCCCAUUAUACUAAACCUAGACUUACUACCUGAUCUAACUGCAGUUUUAACCUCUCUCAGAAGCAAUCUUAGCCAACCAGUCUGAAAUAUUCUUGCCAAACGCCAUUGAGGCCAGCUCACGUGAGACCUCUCCUUUCCUCCACAGAAAGAAGAUGCGACCUGCAUGAUGAAAACCCUUCCUGAUUUCCCCCCUAAAGAAAAGGUGACCUGGCCUAAAAGCAUGCCUUCCUUUUCUUUGCUGAUAGCUCCCUUGCCCCACGUUGCUUCCUGCAAUGUCUUCCUGAUAAGACUCACUCACUGCUCCUAAGGGAAGGUGUCCUUGCCUGAAAUAAUUCUCUCUUAAUUUCUCAGUUCAACCCUUUUUUCCUUAUAAAUACUUUUCACUUUGUACAUCUCCUCUGAGUGCCUUUUAUACUUCCAGUUACUAGAGGGGAUGCUGCCUGAUUCAUGAAUCAAUUAAAACCAGUUGGAUAUUCAAAAUUUACUCAGUUGAGUUUUGUUUAACAAUAUUAAUAUUUCAGCCUUGGAAAGAGUAUGAUAGGUCAAAACUAAGAUUGUUUUAUUGAAAAUAAGAAAGCAGUCUAUUUUAUUCUUGAAAAUUCUUUUGGAAAGAAUGUGAAUGUACCUAUAACAUUCUAUAUCCAAAAUAUCUUUGUAGACCCCAGAGGCCUUAUUAAAGAAUGUAUACAUUCUUUAAUAAUAUACAUUUAAUUGCAGGAUUAGACUAUUGUUCAGUUUAUGAGUCACCUACUUGACACUCAAUAGAUAUAUGCUAAAUGUGUUAAUUAAAUGAAUAAACUGGAUAUACUUUGAAUUUCAGUAAAUUUAAAAACAUGGCCAAUGAUGACACUUUAAAGAUAUUCAAAGAAAAACAAAACAUAUCCAGAAGCCAAAGAGCUGUCAAACAAAAAAAAAAAGCUGGACAGUAGUUACAGCAUUAAAAAUAAAUGUUAUGAAGGAAAAUUAUUGCAACACGGGAAAAGAGAACUGUAGAGAGCCAGACUCAAUUCCAAAUACAACGAGGGAAAGUGGGAAUUUGUAGCAAAUGCUCAGAGUGGGGGGUCAGUGGUUAGAAAAUUACUAAGAGGACACAUCAGGAGUAAGGAGGAAUUCUGGUUAAACCAACCUAACAAGAUGCUUGCUGAAGACAAGCCAGGGUGAUCAGAAGUCACGUGAGAGAUACUAGAAAAUUAGGAAGCUGAUUAACUAUCCAAGAUGAUCCUAUAUGGAGGAUGAGGUCUUCUUGCUACACCAACUUAGCAGGAUUUCAGCUAGAACUAGACUCUACAACAAAGGUCACAGAAGCUCAGGGUUUGAGCCCAGCCAAAAAAGUGAAUUCACUGAGUCUGAUUAGUACAGUCAAGUAGGGACUACUUUGUCAGUCCCCCUUGUUCUAUAUGUUAAGUGGUGUGCUUUAAACUUUAGUAAACUUAAUAUCAUGGCUCAUGGGGAUACUUUAAAAUAAAGAUGUUCAACAAUAAAUGAAGCAUUCCAUCCAGAAGCCACAGACUUGAAACACUACUGAAAAGACAAAUAUGUCUUCUAUAGUUAAGCAUGAGGCACUGAAACAUCAAAAUAUGAUGGAAACUGAGUAAUCAAAUAACUUAAUAAAGACUUGAAGAGUCUCUAAAUUCUAGAAGCUAAUUAAAAACACAAUAGCUUUGCUGGGGAUGCUCUCCGAGAUGCCACUUAUUAAACUCAGUGACGCCUGACCUGUAAUCAACCCAAGGUCCAUCCAACACAAAAUGAGACCAAUCCUAGUUCAUCUGUGACUACAGUGACUCAGCUGCCUAGCGUGAACAGGUAAAGGGCUUAGUUAAUACCAAUCAAGUCAAAGUUUAAGAAGAACAAUGAACCUUCCUAUUACUCCCAAUGUCUUGUACAAUGAAGUUCAAAGAAGUAUAGUAGUUACAACAUGAUCUAUGAGUUUGCAACCGUUCAAUUAGCAAUAACCAAAAUUUCUCAUCUCUUGACCAGAUGACUUCCAUUUUUGAUUCCUUAAAAUUAUCAACAUUAUAUAGUUACUUCUUUUACAUAUGGAAUUAUAUCAAGGAUCCAAAUGGCCACUUAUAGACUAACCCAAAGAGAAAACACCUACCUGUUCAUAAAUUACUUUUAUUCAAAAGUGAUAGGUACACAACUAUACCAUUUAUAACUAAGCACAUUGAAUAAUUCUGAAGAUAAAUUCCAUCAAAGACAAAGAUAUGAGUUCAGCUUCACAAGAUAAUAAAAUGGCUAUUUUUUGCUCUUAUCUAUUUAAGAUAUCUGGGUCCUAUAGAGAUACCAGACUUCUUAAUGAGCACCUAGGAUGUAGACUAAUUUUUUUCCUUUAAGAUAGAGAACUGGUUCAAAAAUCUGGUCAGAGUUAUAAGUGAUUUAAUAUUUCUCUUCCCACAAUGACUUGUUCUGCAGUCUACCUUGAGAAUGCACGUUCUGUGAAAGCACAACUCUGGCUGAAGUCUUAUGCAACCAUAUACUUUCCCAGCAUAUUUAUCUCUGUCUUCACUUCUGAAGAACAUAUGGCAACCCAGUCUAGGCCAGGUUUUCAGCUAGGAUCUAAAGAAAAAUAAAACCCAAAUAUUUUAUUAUCCCUUUCAAAAUUCCUGUUUCUUUGAAGAAGAAGGGUUUUGUAUGCACAGGUUCUUGUGGACUUAAAGAAUGAGUAUCUCACUCCAUGGAUAUCUCACUUGUCUUGCACCUCUGGUGUAAACCUCUUUGCCUUAUGCAGUUUUUAGGCCCUAUUCUGAGCUCAGAGAUAAUCCCUCAGUGACUGCUCCCACCACGCAGCCUUUCCAAGUGGACCUGACUGCUGAGGUAUGAACCUCUGACUGCCGCCAAGGCUACCUCAAAUACAUCAAAGCUUUCAUAAAAAUUGUACUUAUUUCUUCGCACCACUCACAGUUGGUGUUUACAUUUGAAAUAUGUCUGCCUCCUUUAUGAGACUGGAAUGACACUGUUGUGUCCUCAAUUCCCAGUACUGUGCCUGGUACAUAAGUACUUAAUUGAACUGGUGAGUGAGUGAAUCUAUUACACAACUAAUCCUGUCACCAAAUAUUUAUUUUCCUUUUCUCCAGUUUCACCAAAUUACUUUUAAUCUUCUACAAUUUUCUCAAAGCACAAAUUCAUCUACUGGA